UUAAGAUAUAAUAAUUUCAUCUUGAGGAGUGAUGUAGGAACAUACAAAAAGUCUUUGUUUUAAGAGCAGGAGAAUUUCUAUGAAAAACACUGCAAUUUGUAACAUAACAAUAUUCUCAAAUCUCUGCUGAGGUAGUUCAGAUACUGCUUAAUUGCAUGGCAUGCUCAGUAAAAAGUGUCACUAAGCUCAAAAUUAAUGCCACAGGGAAGCCAUGAUGUAACUUUUAAUUUUCAUUGUUAGGUAUUUAGAAACUUUUCACUUUCGCCAAAAUCUUUAUGAGCCCUCUAUUAAGUUGUAUAAUCCUGUAUGAGAGAGUGGCAUACAGUUUAGGAAAUUGGGCCCUGGAGAAUCAGACCAAAUUCCCAUCCUAAAGAAGACUGUCAUCUGUCCUGUUUUUGAUGAAUGGAUAUGUUUUGGGAGCAUAGGGAGUUGAACAUGGUAGCAGUGAGUCUUGGCCAGUGACACCAAGGGGCUUGGAAAACAGGGCAAUUCCGGUGGCAAAUCAGGCACACAGAGCCGGAGGGCUCCAUUAGGGCUGUCUGGGCCUUGUCUUUUUGAGACAGGACCCCACUGUAUACUCAGACUACUCUCAAAUUUCACCUGCCUGAGUUCUAUAACUACAGGCUUGUACUACUGUGCCCAACUUUAUUGAUCGUUUGGUUGAUGGAUUGAUUGUUAUACUGUGGUUCAGACCCUGAGCCUAGCCUUGUACCUACUAGUCACACAUUUGCUUACUGAGCUAAAUCCUAAACCCCUAUGUUAUUUCUUCUCCUGCCUUUUGCCUUUGCACUCCUCCCUGCUCUCCCCUACCCCGUCCUCCUCCUCCUUGUGAGUUCUCCUUCACUACCUUCUCCUCUUUGGUUUUUGUUUUAAAGAUUUAUUUGUAAGUAUGUAUAUGUGUGUCUGUGUGUGUGUGUGUGUGUGUGUGUGUGUGUGUCUGUUUGUCUGCCUGUCUGUCUAUCUGUCUGUCGGUGUGUGUCUCUGUGUAUAUGUAUUUGUGUGCAAGAGCACAUGCCUGUGAAUCCAGAGUAGGCUAUUUGAUUCCCUGGAGCUGGAGGUACAAGAGAGUGCUGAGAAUGAACUCUAGUGAUCUACAAGAGUAAUACCUACUCUUAACCACUCUCUCCAUCAUCUCAUUUUGUUUGGUUUGUUUUUCAAUAUUUAGGGUAGGCAAAUGUAGCCUUGACCUCCUGAUUCUCCCGUCACUGCUCCUCAAUGCUGCAGUCACAGGCUUAACCAUAAUACUUUGGCAGAUUCUAUAUUUCUUUUCCUUUUUUUUUUCUCCUAUUAGUUGACUUUAAGAGCAUUUUCCCUUCAUUUGAAUAUCCUAAUUCUUUCACAUUAGAGUGUACAAGGACACAGGAAGUUUUUAUGACACUCCACUGGUGAGACUGGACUUCCUUUGAAGUGUUUGUUAUUCUGUGUAUAUCUUUAUUCUUAUAUAAGUAUAUAUUCUACUUCCAAGGUAUGUAACAAUACUGAUGAUACUGUUGUCUGAAAGACACUUGAUAAAAUGUGUAAAAGAGGGGAGACAGAGAGAGAGAGAGAUUGUGUGUGUGUUGGGUUAGGUUGGUGGGUCCUGGGGAAAAAAAUCCUUAUGCUGUUAUCUAGUGUAGUUUUUGGUAGAGCUCUAAUAUCUUAAUGAUUUUUUUUUCUUUUUGAAGUAGGGUUUCAUGUAGCUGAGGUUGAUAUUGAACUAAGCAUGUAGUUGAGGAUGGCUUUGAACCCCUAGUCCUCCUACUGUACCUCUGAGUUUCUAAAUUGCAGGCAUGCUUUGAUUGAACCUGCAGCUUUGUGUAUUUUAGGCAAGCAGUCAACUAACUACUGCAUCCGUAGCUCAGAUAAUCUGUGUUCUUAAUGUUCUUCAGAAUUGUGGUUAUAUAAUCUUUCUCAAUAAUAAUACUAGAAUCUAAGUAAGAAUAUUGGCUCUGAGGAAGUAAUACAUAUGCCAGGGUUAUCUUACUAUGUCUUAUCUUUUAGCCAUAAUUAUGGUCUGAUCAACAGUAAAGAUAUCUUUCAGUCCUUUGUGGGUCCAAUAGGUUAAAUACAGAACAGAAAUACAUUUAGCACAGUUUGUUUAACUGAAACUAAUAGCCUCUCCUGUAGGUUUGAUGUCUAACCUAAAUCUUAGGACACAUGGCAUAAUUAGUGGGGAAUUUUUAUUUAGCAAGACUAUUGGCCUUUAAAAACAAAGCCUUAAGGCUUUUGUCACUGUCUUCUUCUAGAUAAUCUUAUUCCCCUAGAGUUAUAUUCUUGACCUCAGAAAAUAAUAUGAAAGUUACUGAUUGUUUUACAGGUGGCAUCAGAAGACUUAAAAUCAUCUUGUUGACAUAUAAUUAAAAUUAUUUUUUGCUUUUUCCUUGCUGAAGAAGUAAAUUUAUGUAUUCUUUGAUGGAGGCUGUGUGUUUUAACUUGAUGCCAAAAACUACUUUCUAAAAUAAUCAUGGGUCUGCUCUGUAAGCAUGAAUUUAUAACUGCUUCUCUUUGCUCACUUAUGAGAAUUAAAUGAUAUGAUUUUCAUUAACUUAGCAGCUGCUUAUGGUGUUUCUAUUUGUUGAUGGAUGUCUUAGAUUUAGGGAUAAGAGAAAUGAAAUCUACAAUACCAGUCUUCAAAACACCUACACAGUAGAUUUGGAUGAGAAAAACAGAAGCAGAUAAAUAAGUAGAUCAUCAUCGUGCUUUGGAUUAAGAGUUAUAAAGCAUCCACUCCCAGGUCUGCUUCCUACCUCCUUAUAAAAUGAGGAUAGGGCUGGAGAGAUGGCUAAGUGGGUAAGAGUACUGAUUGCUCUUCCAGACGUCCUGUGUUCAAAUCCCAGCAGCCACAUGGUGGCUCACAAACAUCUGUAAUGAGAUCUGACACUCUUUUCUGGAGUGUCUGAAGAUAGCUACAGUGUACUUACAUAUAAUAAAUAAAUCUUAAAAAAAUAAAUCUUAAAAAAAUAAAAUGAGGAUCAUAUUAUAUAUCCUGUAAAGGUGCAUUGUUGGCCAAAAUAAGGUAGUAUCUAAAUGAACUUGACACAAAAUUUUCAAUAGCUGUUAGUGGCUGCUGUUAUUAGAAAUAAAAAGGGCUGGAGAGAAGGCUCACAGGUUAAGAGCAUUGACUGCUCUUCCAGAUGUUCUGAGUUCAAUUCCCAGCAACCACAUGGUAGUUCACAAUCAUCUGUAAUGGGAUCUGAUGCCCUCUUUUGGUGUGUCUGAGGAGAGAGGCAAUGUACUCACAUUCAUAAAAUAAAUCU
rnacentral:lncRNA from 1 species